rnacentral:rRNA from 1 species
UUUGCCAGGUCCAGCAUGCAGAUCCAUUUUCUGCCACCGAAUACAUUAGCAUGGGAUAAUGGAAUAGGACCCUGUCCUCCUAUUUUCAGUUGGUUUGCCGCGAGGACCAGGGUAAUGAUUAAUAGGGAUAGUUGGGGGCAUUAAUAUUUAAUUGUCAGAGGUGAAAUUCUUGGAUUUAUGAAAGAUUAACUUCUGCGAAAGCAUCUGCCAAGGAUGUUUUCAUUAAUCAAGAACGAAAGUUAGGGGAUCGAAGACGAUCAGAUACCGUCGUAGUCUUAACCAUAAACGAUGCCGACCAGCGAUUAGGAGACGUUGAAUACAAAACACCACCAUGCGCAUUGCGGUCGUCUUUGGUGUGUCGCUCACAAGGCGGCAUCAUCGGGACGGCUUAGCUCGCAUGGCACCGGUGAAUGACUCCCCUAGCAGCUUGGUGAGGA